rnacentral:lncRNA from 1 species
CUCUCUCUCUCUCUCUCUCUCUCUCUCUCUCUCUCUCUCUGUUUCUUCUCUCUCUUUACGUGUGUGUCUUUUCUUUUAUCUCCAUAUAUCAAAUUGUAAUAAAUUAAUUAUUCUGAUCAAACACAAUUAACCGAUCAUCCAGAAGCAAAAGCGAUCGUUUUCUUCCCCGGCAAAAUUUCCAGGUAAUUCAUCGAUCAUCGUUUUAUUCCAUGUUUAAUAUCUAUCAAGUUCAUAUUCCUGUUUGAUUGUUCUGUUCCUUUAUUUAUUACAUACUUUUUGCUCGGUUUUUGUUGGGGAAAAGUUAUUGGGUUUAAAGCUGAUUUUUCUCGCCCGAUCGUUUUUUUAGAAUCAAAUUAAUGCUCUUUUGCAGUUGUUUUUUCGCUAUUGCUCGGUAGAUUUUUUAACUUAAUUUUUUAAAUUUAUCCUUAAUAUUUGUAUUCAAUCAUUUAUCACUUGGUGGAGGAAUAUAUAGUAUUUCGUUUUUUCUAAGCUGAUUAUCAUUUUCCCACCCGAUCGUUUAGUAUGUGAUUUAUUUUUUAUUUUACAUAUUUUGCAUGAAUAAAUUGUUUUCUGCUUAUUUCAACUUAUUGUAUCUAACAACUUUAAAAAGAUAUCUAAAUGAAACUUAAAUUAUGUUUGAUUGUAAAUUAUUCAAGUGCCUAGUUUUUUGUGUUUUUAAGUAAAUACUGGAGACUUGAUAUAAUCAACAGAAACUAAGAAGAAUAUAAUUGUUGUAGUUAUUCCAAGUUCAAAUCCUAGCGGAGUCAAAAAGCUAGGUGAUGUCUUUCCAUCCGCCUAGAGGCGAAACCAAAAUUUGAAGUUUGUGGGUUCUGAAGUUGCCACAGAACCCAUAGCUCGUCUUAGUUAGUGGGUUCGUAAUUAAAUAUUUCUACAUAUUUAAUAAAUUUCUUAAUACAAAUCCAGAGUUUAAGUAAAAGUCACAGGAUUCCAGCGAACCCGUAUUUAGUAGGCUAGCUCCAGCCUUACAUUUGCCUAAACCUUGGUGGACAAAGUUACCCGGUAUUUGUGUUGAUUGUAGGUACCAGAUAUUAAAUGGAAUUAGUCGAGGUGCGCGCAAGUUGACGCAAAUACCGCCAUCAUUGAAACAAGUAAUUUUUGUAGUUAUUCAUCGCGCAGAGUGCAUAAAUAUUUAAAAAAGGAACAAAAUUGAAUAUUUGACAUCCCAAUUUGGUAAUCUGCUACAUUAACUGUAAUUUUUUAAUGUGAAAAUCUUGAUGUCCAGGAAAGUAUGUGUUGCAUAUAGGAGUUCCUAAAGCAUUGAUUAUUUAUCAAAAAGAGAGGGAGGGAGGGAGAGAGGGAGGGUAAAAGAGAGAAAUUGGUUGGUUUAUUUCACUUAUGUGAAGUAUUCAUGGCUUAGCUUUGUUUCGUAUUAUUGGAAGGCAAGUGAAAGUGAUAUAUAUUUUCUCCUUUAUGGAUAGUAGGCAAUUCUUAGUUUUAUUUCCUUAUAUGUCCUUCAAGUGGAAUGAGAUGCAAAUUAUAAGUGGUGCACUGAUUUACUAAGAUUACAUUUUCGAAGAGAAAUUGAUCUUGAGCGUUAAGUCAUAACUUGAUAAUUCAUGGCAAGUGGUAUUGAUAAUCACGCUAGCUUACAACAUCAACAACUAUAAAACUACUACUAUGCCUCAAUCCCAAGCUAGUUGGGUUCGGCGGUAUGAAUCCUCAUUAUUAUAAGUGCUUCAUUUGGGUCCAUAAUAUUUCAAUACUAUGUACUUAAGGAUUAUUUAGCACUAGAGAUUCUCUAAUGUGCUCUAGUGGUUUGUCAACUUGAGACUGAUAAUUAAUUACGCUAGCAUACUGCAUGUAAAUUAAGUGGAGAAAAUAAACCAUAGUGAGGUAUCCCGCCUGACUUAAAUUUAGCCUAUGAGGAACAUUGACAUCUUAGCCAAUCAUGGUGAGAGUAAUUAUAAUCUAAUACUUCGUUUGUUCUAUUUUAUUUGACACUCUUUCCUUUUUAGUUUCUUUUAAAAAAGAAUGAUUACCCAAGGGUUUGGCCUAGUGGUCAAUCAGUCAAUGAAGUGGGUUGAGAACCAUGAGGUUUCAGGUUCAAAUCUCAGCGGAGGCAAAAACAUUAGGUGUUUUCUUCCUAUCUGUCCAAACCUUGGUGGACAAAGUUACCUGGUACCUGUUGCUGGCCGGAGGUAGCAGGCAUCCUGUGGAAUUAGUCGAGGUAUGCACAUGCUGGAUGGGACACCACGGUUAUAAAAAAAAGAAUGAAACCUUCCUAUAUUUGGGAAAAAAUUAUCUUUACUUCCCAUUUUACCCUUACUAAAAUGCUUUUAUAGUCACAAGAAAUGUCACGACGUGUUUAAGACCACAAGUUCGAGAAGUUUUCCUUUCUUUCUUAAAUUGCGUGCUCAGUCAAACAAGCCACAUAAAAUAAAAUGGGGGGAGUACAAUUUUGAGUUAUUUAUAUCGUGUAGGUUUAAGAUCAUUUCCCCCAAAUUUGACUCUGUGUGUCUGUCAUUUUAAAAGGAUCAGCAUGAAACCCCUUUUCCUCAAAUAAGGGGUGGGGGUAUACUCAUAACGCCGCGGGAGUUAAAUUCACCUCAGUGGUCUAGAGACCAAGCAAAAAUGAUAUGUUAUUGAUACAUGCCGUAUAGGUCUUAGUGAGAAACUUUUCAAAUGAACUAAGAUUUGAGUCUCAUAGUGAUGCAACUUAUUUGGAUAAGAAAUUACAAUUUGAGUCCACCAAUUUCAUGUCAAAUCCAAAAUGGUUCCUAGAAUCAGUUUUACGCCAUUCUUCCAUGAGCAAAGCUGUUCAUGGCGAAUGCAUUUCUAGUUCCUUUAGAUUGGUAUUUCAUAGUUGGUAUUGCAUUUUGCAAGGAUCCUUCUGGACAAUCUUGUUGAUCUUGGUACUUGUAUGAGAAAAUAAGAGCCUUGUGAUUGUGGAGUUAUUGGUGCAUAUAAUAUUACGGUGGUUCUUAAAAAUCAAGAUUUGUAUAUACCAUUAAUGCGUACUUUUAAUUCAAACUUUGUCCCAUGCAAAUGAAGCAGGCUUUAUUUGCAUAUCUUACCAUACGGUCACAGAGUUAAAGGCCCUGCAAGGACCCGAAGACAUAAUACUUUUUCUUUAUUGCUGACCGCUUGAGAGAGACUUUUCGGUUCACGUAAGCAUGUCCUUUUCCUAUGUAAGCUCUCAAAUUGUUAGCUUUAAGAUCUACUGUUAAAAGAAUCUAGGUGGAGCAUGUACCUGUGCGGUGCAGCUUUUAGCUGUCAAAAGUUCUCUUAUUGGGGCAUAGCUCUCUUUGGAUCCCAGGGGGAUAUGAUGUCGCGUAUUAUGAUAAUUUAAUGUUAUUCUUCAAAAUUGUCCUUCCCUUUUAUUCUAACCGCUUUUUUUGUUACAUUUUUGAACACUUUAAUAUAAAGUAAGAAACAACAGUCGAUCAGUCCCUUGUUCAACUUAAUGAUACAUCUUAGCGCUGAACCGUCUAUAUUUGUUUAUGUUGUUUUUUGUUUUUGUAGGACACCAUGCCAAGUUACUUUCAUUGGACUAGUUCGGAACUAGGAAAGCAUUUGCCUUUAUCCCACAAACUUUGUAAUUUGAACAAUAUUUAUAUUGUUGUCUCUCUUUUAUAAAUGAUCUUUUUUUCUUGUUCUGUGAUCCUAUUUAGCAUUUGUUGCCUCAUUAAUUGGUUAUAGUAUGGGACUGUAUGCAUCAGGAUAUGAACUUGAAGGAAUUGGAUGAACUAACUUAAAUGUCUGUAUGCAAAUAUUUAUCUGAAGCCAAGUGACAGUGGCUCUAUAUUAACAAAUAUCUAUCUCCAAUCUUCCUGCCUAGCGCCCACUUUGUAAUCUAUUAGGCAUCGAGUCCCUAGAUUAUAUGUGCUAGCAUUUUUCAAUAUUACCUUCCAGAGCAUCUAGGUUUAGAUGGUUUUUGCUGUGCAGGCUAGGGAGGCUGGUGACUUAUUGUUGUCAGAUGAAGGAUAUUGCCCUAGAGUCAUAAGAAUGGGUUUCCUGAGCUAAAUAGUUCAAAUUAGGGCUUUGUUGGAGUUGACUUGAGCUUAAUAUUGGGCCUGAUGAUCAAAUGUCAUUUUCAUUGACAUUUCUUACCUUUGACACGACAUAAGAUUAUGCGAGGGCUUGGAAUGAGGACAGAUUACAAGUACAGGUGAGGGUUUUGGUACCNNNN